CUUGAAUUGUGGAUGGAAACUUUUGGAUUAAUGGCAAAGACGAAGAAAAUUUCCUUUAUAUUUUAACAAGUUCGUUUGUGCUUAGAUCGCUAGGAUUAUGUCGUGCACAGCACAUAUCUUUUCCAGGAAGAUCAGCCCCGGAAUGUUUGAUGCAAUUCCUUCCAAAGA